GACGAACGCUGGCGGCGUGGCUAAUACAUGCAAGUAGGACGCAGUUGCGAACGGGUGAGUAACGCGUAGGUAAAUACCUAGUAGAGGGGGAUAACUAUUGGAAACGAUAGCUAAUACCGCAUACUAGUAGAUGGACCUGCGUUGUAUUGGGUAGUAGGUAGGGUAAUGGCCUAACAAGGCAACGAUACAUAGCCGACUUGGGAUGGUGAACGGCCACACUGGGACUGAGACACGGCCCAGACUCCUACGGGAGGCAGCAGUAGGGAAUCAUCGGCAAUGGGGGGAACCCUGACCGAGCAACGCCGCGGGAGUGAAGAAGGUUUUCGGAUCGUAAAGCGCUGUUGUUAAGGAAGCGGUACUUAACCAGAAAGGGACGGCUAACUACGUGCCAGCAGCCGCGGUAAUUC
rnacentral:rRNA from 1 species